rnacentral:rRNA from 1 species
AAUCCCAAUCCCUGAAUACAUACAGUGUCAUCUUAUUUCGGAAGCUAAGCAGUGGUGGGCCUGGUUACUAUUUGGAUGGGAAGCUUUCAGGUAAUGCAAGGGAUUU